CCAUGAGCUGCGACACCUGUCUUCUCCUGCCCUCAGACUUUGGAGCUCCUAAUUCUCCGACCUUUGACCUUGGGCUGAUUCAGUGAGAAGGUGCCAUCUUGAAGUUAGAGAGCAGCCCUCACCAGACAACCAAACCUACCAUUGCCUUGAUCUUGGACUUCACAGCCUCCAGAACUGUGAGAAAAUAAGUUUUUAUUCUUUGUAGAUUACCCAUUCUCAAGUUUUCUCACCAUGAAACAAUGAAGAUAAUAUACUUUGUUCAAUGAGAUGGCAUUUGCAUUUCUGUUCACAUUCAUGAAAAAGCCAAAUAGAGAUAAUAAUAAUUAACUGAGCACUUCUUGCUAAAACACUUAGAGUAAACUUGGAACUUUUCAAAGAAAACGAAAAGAUUUUCUUCUUCUUUAUUAUGGAUAGAAUAAGGAUCAAAUAAUAGUAACUUGUGUCAGUAUCAAGCAUAUAGUAGUUUCUUUAAAAUAUUUCCUAAGUGAGUGAGUGAGUGAAUGAAUGGAAGAAUUUCUUGGCAGUGAGGUUUGGUAAUUAUCAGACUGUUCUGCUGCUGCAAAAUUAAAUGAUCCCUUUCAUUGGCAUAAAUCAACUAAGCUUUAUUAGGUACCUUUCUAUUUUGAUAUCUUCUUAAAUAAAAAAUAUUCACUUUUUUUUGGUCUGGAAAAAGAAUAAACUUGAUCUCUCAAUGGCCCUGCCACUAUAAGAUUUGAUGCCUUCUGUGAUUUUAUAGCUCUACUAGUUGUUUGGUUUUAUAUUUUAGAGCAAAUCCCUAAGCACAUAACAAGUCAGUAAAGCAAUUUAGACCUUCACCCAGAUCAAUGCCUUGAACUUCUGAAGAUUGGAUUUUUGUUGUCCUCCCAUGUUUCAGAAUCAUAUAAAACAACAAAAUCAUUCUUGUUUGAGUGAUGUGUGCUCUUAGAAG
rnacentral:lncRNA from 1 species